CUUGUACAUCUCUGCGGUCUCCAUGAAGGUCAGUUCUUAUGUCAGGAACUCUUAGCUGAGGUGGGAGUCCGGUAAGCAGAGAUGUCCAAGGUGAUCAGGUAAGAAACCACCAGGACUGUGAAUCUGUGCAUGGGGGCUGUGCAGGAAAGAUGUUCCAAUUCGUGGUACAGAUAAGAACACAAGCAGGAGGAAAAUCGAGGAUAAGCCAAAGUCAGAGGAUUCCAGAGGUCAGGAUAAAUGAGGAUAAGCCAAAGUCAGAGGAUGGCAGAGGUCAGGAUAAACGAGGAUAAGCAAGUCAGAGGAUGCCAGUGGUCAGGAUAAACGAGGAUAAGCCAAAGUCAGAGGAUGGCAGAGGUCAGGAUAAACAAGGACAGACGCCAAGGUUAGGAGCCAGGGUC